UACAGAGGGGGCAAGCGUUAUUCGGAAUUAUUGGGCGUAAAGGGCGCGUAGGCGGUGAUUUAAGUGAGAUGUGCAAUCCCCGAGCUUAACUUGGGAACUGCAUCUCAGACUGGGUCGCUAGAGUGCUGGAGAGGGUGGUAGAAUUCCACGUGUAGCGGUGAAAUGCGUAGAGAUGUGGAGGAAUACCAGUGGCGAAGGCGGCCACCUGGACAGUAACUGACGCUGAGGCGCGAAAGUGUGGGGAG
rnacentral:rRNA from 1 species